GGCUUAGAUAGUGAUAGUGAAUUUUACCUUCUUUAACUCGUUUGAUAUGCUCCUGCGUAAGUGAAUCAAACUCUUCAAACGUUUCAAUGAAUCUCAAGAAGUUUACAUUAUUUCUCUCACCAAUCUUCUCCUUAGUUUCACGGAAUGCUAUAUUCUGCUUAGCAAGAUUUUUCACCAAUGCAAAAAGUCUCAACAAAAUUUCUCUCCAAUGAUUUUUCUCUCUUUUGACUUCUUCUUGUAAAUACUUAUCAAUGUCUGUAAAUUGUAAAAUCGAAAUCUCCGGAGGUUUUUCUAAAUCCACAGGCACAUCAUCUUCUUUAGAGAUUUUUUCACAUUCCUCUUUGUCACAAUCAGCCAUUGUUUCUUCUCCGGC